UCCCGUAGUCUGUGGUAUUGGCGUGAC
rnacentral:piRNA from 1 species